rnacentral:rRNA from 1 species
GAAACGACUGCUAAGACUGGAUAGGAAAUAAAAAGGCAUCUUUUUAUUUUUAAAAGACCUUUUUCGAAAGGUAUGCUUAAAGAUGAGCUUGCGCCACAUUAGUUUGUUGGUGGGGUAAUGGCCUACCAAGACGAUGAUGUGUAGCUGGACUGAGAGGUCGAACAGCCACAUUGGGACUGAGACACGGCCCAAACUCCUACGGGAGGCAGCAGUAGGGAAUUUUCGGCAAUGGAGGAAACUCUGACCGAGCAACGCCGCGUGAACGAUGAAGUAUUUCGGUAUGUAAAGUUCUUUUAUUGAAGAAGAAAAAAUAGUGGAAAAACUAUCUUGACGUUAUUCAAUGAAUAAGCCCCGGCUAACUAUGUGCCAGCAGCCGCGGUAAGACAUAGGGGGCGAGCGUUAUCCGGAAUUAUUGGGCGUAAAGGGUGCGUAGGCGGUUAGGAAAGUCUAUAAUUUAAUUUCAGUGCUUAACGCUGUCUUGUUAUAGAAACUACCUUGACUAGAGUUAGAUAGAGGCAAGCGGAAUUCCAUGUGUAGCGGUAAAAUGUGUAAAUAUAUGGAGGAACACCAGAAGCGUAGGCGGCUUGCUGGGUCUUGACUGACGCUGAGGCACGAAAGCGUGGGUAGCAAACAGGAUUAGAUACACUGGUAGUCCACGCCGUAAACGAUGAGUACUAAGUGUCGGGAUAAAACUCGGUACUGAAGUUAACACAUUAAGUACUCCGCCUGAGUAGUACGUACGCAAGUAUGAAACUUAAAGGAAUUGACGGGACUCCGCACAAGCGGUGGAUCAUGUUGUUUAAUUCGAAGAUACACGAAAAAUCUUACCAGGUCUUGACAUGCUCUGCAAAGCUAUAGAAAUAUAGUGGAGGUUAUCAGGGACACAGGUGGUGCAUGGUUGUCGUCAGUUCGUGUCGUGAGAUGUUAGGUUAAGUCCUAAAACGAGCGCAACCCUUGUCGUUAGUUACCAGCACGUAAUGGUGGGCACUUUAACGAGACUGCCAAUUAAACAUUGGAGGAAGGUGAGGAUUACGUCAAAUCAUCAUGCCCCUUAUGAUCUGGGCUACAAACGUGAUACAAUGGCUGUUACAAAGAGUAGCUGAAGCGCGAGUUUUUAGCCAAUCUCAAAAAAGCAGUCUCAGUUCGGAUUGAAGUCUGUAACUCGACUUCAUGAAGUUGGAAUCGCUAGUAAUCGCGAAUCAGCAUGUCGCGGUGAAUACGUUCUCGGGGUUUGUACACACCGCCCGUCA